AGAGAAUAGAUACCCCGGUAGUCCAUGCCGUAAACGUUGGGCACUAGGUGUGGGGGACAUUCCACGUUUUCCGCGCCGUAGCUAAACGCAUUAAGUGCCCCGCCUGGGGAGUACGGCCGCAAGGCUAAAACUCAAAGGAAUUGACGGGGGCCCGCACAAGCGGCGGAGCAUGCGGAUUAAUUCGAUGCAACGCGAAGAACCUUACCAAGGCUUGACAUGAACCGGAAACGUCUGGAAACAGGCGCCCCACUUGUGGUCGGUUUACAGGUGGUGCAUGGUUGUCGUCAGCUCGUGUCGUGAGAUGUUGGGUUAAGUCCCGCAACGAGCGCAACCCUCGUUCCAUGUUGCCAGCGCGUUAGGGCGGGGGACUCAUGGGAGACUGCCGGGGUCAACUCGGAGGAAGGUGGGGACGACGUCAAAUCAUCAUGCCCCUUAUGUCUUGGGCUUCACGCAUGCUACAAUGGCCGGUACAAAGGGUUGCGAUACUGUGAGGUGGAGCUAAUCCCAAAAACGCCGGUCUCAGUUCGG
rnacentral:rRNA from 1 species